rnacentral:rRNA from 1 species
UACGGAGGGUGCGAGCGUUGUCCGGAAUCAUUGGGCGUAAAGGGCGCGUAGGUGGCCCGGUCAGUUCGUGGUGAAAGCGCGGGGCUCAACCCUGCGUCGGCCAUGAAUACUGCCGCGGCUGGAGCACUGUAGAGGCAGGUGGAAUUCCGGGUGUAGCGGUGGAAUGCGUAGAGAUCCGGAGGAAGACCGGUGGCGAAGGCGGUCUGCUGGGCAGUUCUGACACUUGAGGCGCGACAGCGUGGGAGCAACAGGG